ACCAAGACAAAUCCUUUUCUAUAUCUUGGAAGGGAAGGAAGCAAGGUCUGCCUUUUCUUUCUCUUGACAAGCAUCUGCGUGAGUCAAGAUUUCCUCUGCAAGCCAAUGCAGAAACUUCAAUGCCUGACAUUAAAUAUUCAUUUUUUAAAGCUGUAUUCAACUGGAAAAAAAGUCAAUUAGAGUCUCUUGCAAGGGAAAGAAAAAAACUAUUAGCUAAAUUGGUGACAUUUCCUUUUGAUAGAAACCUGGUGUUUCCAAGAGUCUGAGAUAAAGGCUAAUAGGCAGUAAUCAAAGAACACAUGAACUAGGCCUUAUGCAAUAUCUCUUCCAUCUGUUCAGCACAGAUCCAUGUGAUCCUUACCAUUAGGUACUGAGAUUUCACUUCAUCCCACAAAAGAAGUCUCUUGGAGUAUGUGAGGAGUGUUACGUCCAGGUCACAGUCUUUCUGCCUGGACUGGUGGGCACACUUCCUCAUAGCUGAGCUAAACUGGAACGUAAAGCUUGUUACCAGCCAUAAAUGUAGGUCUGAGAGGGUCUUGGCUUCACCUGGGAUAGUUAACUUUUGUUACUGUAGCUGAUGUAGUGCUGUGUUUUGGACUUACUAUGAGAAUAAUGGAGGUAGUGCAGUGAUGGUUAGUUGUUGCUGAGCAGUGCCAGUAGUGAUGCUUUGAUUAUACUUGUUAAGUGCAGACAGAUAAAGCACCGAACCCAGCAUCCAUUCAUUAUGACGUUUGUUUGUUUUGUGUGAUGUUGUUUUUGUGUGUGUGGAUUCCUAAAAGCAGAGCUGCUUUCAAAACAAAUAGAAGAAACUGCCUUCAUAGGGCUUCCCUCCUCGUGCCUCAAUGAGAACCUCUGGAUCUGCACCAGGCAGCCCCAUUGCUUCAAGCAGCAGCGCUCUGGCUGUGAGUUCCAGUAAUCUGAAUACUCAAGGAGACAACUCAAUGAGAGAACAGGUUUUGUGGAGAAAGCUGCUGGAAGUCAGAAAGCCGUACAGAACUGCUGAGGCCAGGGAAGAAGGGAAGGUAAAUGGUUGCAAUCUUGGCCUCCCUUCAGUGAGCAGCCACUGCAUCACCUUUAUGGGUGUGCCUUCUGUUUUUAGCUUGGAAAAAAAAGGAUGGGGUGAGGAAUCUUUCACAGAUCUUUAUCAGCCUUCACCACACUGUACUCUGAGCUUGGAAACAGGCAUCCAUACUUGCAUUCACUCAACUUGAAAGGGAUUUUUCAAUGUAAUUCUGCAUAAACAGGAUCUAACGCUGGUUCCUUCUCUUAUAAUGUGAACUUGCAAAAUGAUGAACAGGCUCAAUCCCUGUCAGCUACCAGCAGGAUUUGUCCCCUUUGCUUUAUGGCCACGUAAUGAUUAUUUCUCCUUAGCUAACAUGUUAAAAUGCUAUAUUGCUCCAUUUGUUCUUUACCAGGAGCAUGAGAAUUACUGCUCCUUCAAAAAACUGGCAAAAGGAUUUAUUUUUUUCCCCCCAUUAAUGGGCUGAUGAAGCUAAUGGUCUCCAUAAAAGUGUCAGAGAUUGGUGCAGAUGGAAAGGGACCACUGUAGACCUCUCAUCAAACUGAGUCCAGCAACACAUUGCAUGGGGCCUUGUACAGCUAGCUUUGAGUAUCUCCAAGGAUGUAGAUCCUAAAACCACCCUGGGCACCUGUUUCAGUUUUUUUUUAUCACACUCAUGAUGAUCUUUCCUUCUUGGUAUCAAAGUUUCCUGUUCCAGAUUGUCCAUUGCCUUUCAUCCUUCUAAGUGUAAACCACUCCAGAGGGCCUGACUCUGCCUUCUCUAAAUUCCCAGAAUCUGGAGCAUAUAAGAAAAAAAGGAAAAGAAAAAACCAAAAAGGGCAGAGUGGCAGAAUGUACCUCAAGGCUGAGACUUCAGAUAUUACAGAGCUGCAGGGAGAUUAAUCAGAGCUACUGCUUCUGACACCAUUUAAAUGAGGAACAAAAGUACGCAAGAGAACUAAACGUUGCUCAGAGCCUCGCACACAUCAAGAAGCUCAAGUAUUUUUGUCACUAAGAAGAUCCAAAGAGGAACAGACUUUCUGUUCAGUGGGGAGUCUGAGCAUUUCCUCCCAUCAGCAGUAAUGAUAAUGGAUCUCACUUAAUGAGCAGCCACUGAGAUAAACACACACAUGACAACAAAUUAGCAGCUAUGGAUGCAACUCUGAAAGAAAAUGACUACAGGACCCCAGAAUCUCUCCUGCAGGUCAUCGAUUUCUUGGUCCCUUAAUGAAAAUGGAGAAUUAUCACCUCAGUCAGGAGCGGCUCCUGCACCUGGUUCAUUCUUUUAAGAGAUGCUGUAAGGAAGGGCCAUGCUUUCCAAAAGCAGUUUCUGAAAUGUAACUAUAGACCACAGGACUGGAUUGAUGCAGCAGUUUGGCUAUGACCUGAGGAGGCUGAGAAUAGCUCUGGGGCCUCUGCCAAAGCUGAGGCCGCACCUCAUCUCUAGGGCAUGUGGGGAUAACUUUCUUAUUCAGACAGAGCAAAAGCAGGACAAGGCAAACAACCUGUAAGCAAGUACUGGUGUGCAAAUGUGGAGCCGUCCACUUUGAUAAAUGCUGGAAUGGUAUCCCUGCAGCAGCUGCUGCUGCCAGUGCAUCUGGGCAGGCAAGAGCUGCUUGUCUCCUGCACCACCCCUGCAGUGCCAAACCACUGCCAGCAGAGUUGCAGGAAGUCAGGGCCACACGAUCUCCCCACAGGUCACUGGAAGUUGGUUUUAUCUUUAAGUAGCUCCUGUCAGCCUAACGUGUGCAAAGCCUUAUGGAAGCAGUGCCUGGUCUCAGCCCAUUUGCAGGGAGGACAAGUUCCCUUUGCAGCAAUAACCAGGAUAGCCAGCUCUGGCUGCAUGUGGCCUCAGCACAGAGAUGAUGUGCUCCCCUCUCACCCAACAGGAGGUCAGCAUGCCCUGGAAUAAGAGACAUGGGUGGCAAAACUGCCCCUUGACUGCCUUUGUGCCAUUUUUCUUGGCAUGAGGGGAUUUCAGUUUCCAGAGCUGCUAAUCCACUGUAAAGUUCACCUCAUCGCUGGAGGGAGAGCUGCAGCUUUACUUAGAAUCGACAUAUUGCUCUGAUAUGUGUUGCUUCUGGCUGAUGUAUUUAUCAAGCAGUUGUUUCCAUUGCUGCUUUCUCUAAUUUAUGCAAUCACUGCAUGGCACGCUUUAACUCUCUGGUGUGCUUUGUGCAGUUUGUCUACAAGCGGAGAGCAGAUGAAAGCAACCUGAUAGUAGCUGGUUUGCACUCAUUAGAGCAGCACUGGAGGGCUUGUGCUCAGUGCUGACACUGUUCUGAGAUGAGGAAAGCAGAGAUCAGGGCUCUUGGGGUCUUCUUCAAGCCCUCCUUCUCUGUCUGAUCGUUACAAAUCACAAACUGUGUAAAUGGGAUCUAAACCAGAACCCUGAAAAAAUGUGAGACAUCCGAAUUAGGUGGCUUAAUUUGUUUUGGUAGGUUUGUGAAUACACCACUUGCCCAGACAGGUUUGUGUCUGAAGGCAACUGGAAAUGAGGUAGGGCCUGUAAGGGGGGCAAUGAGGAUGUGGCUGCCAGUGUAACAGGAACUGUCCUCGCCAAGGGCCAAGUGUGGUGAGUUAUGGGGUAUCCUCCACUACCACUGCUCAUUAGUUGCAUUUAAUGAAUUUGUGGGAUUUGCCACAUAAUGGGUGCUCAAGAGCCAGAAAGCAAAUCCUGCUGCACACCUGGGCAGAGCUGCAGAGCAUCUGAACAAAUGCAAGCCCGGGCUUUGCCUGAUAAAAAGAGGUGGUGGAAUAAAGUCAUAGAACCAUUAAAAUUGGAAAAGACUGCUAGUAUUAUGGCAUGCAACCAUCACCACCUGGUGAAAGAAGGUGCUUGGGAACUUGUGAGAACACAAGCUUCUGGACAGCAUCCACAUAAAAAAGCAGGCAGACCAGGAUGGAGACUUCCAUAGUUUUGCCCAAGGCCGACCAAAUGGAUACAGCUGACCCAGAUUUGGAGGCCUACGUUCUGCUUUUUGCUUGGAGGUGGUUUUCCUGCUCAUGUCAGCAGGCAGCAGAAAUCAAGAAAGGGCCACAGGUGCCCACUUGGCCAGCACUCAUCCAUCUCCAUCAGCAUGCUGAGCAUCUCAAAGGAAGGCCCCACAGUAAGACUUACAAUGUCUUCCCUCUAUUAUGUCUCCUUAUGAUCAUCAUUUAUUAUGUAUGAGUUUAACCUUCAAAGUCCAAUGUGUUGUGUCCCUUUUAAUGUUUGCAAUUAGGAGAACUCUAAAUAAUUUUUCAGCAUUGCUUUGCUCCAACACCUGCCUCUGGCGGUAUGGUUUAAUUAACCUGCCAGAAGAACAAAUUUCCUCUUACCCUUUGUUUAAUUUCUCACUCUCUAAUUUCAUCAAAUAGUCAUUUGUGUCUCAGUUGCCACAUGGGGACUGUAAAGCAAGGAUGAUAGCACAGUAUUUCCACCUGUGGGUAAUGUCAGUGCAAACAUUCUGAUAAUAACUGCGGCAAGUACCAUGGCUGUGCUGGGCUCUAUGGUAUCAACUUUAGACUAUGAUCUUCCCUAGAUGUACAAGCCACACCCCUAUUAUGUUGCCAUGUAAUUACUGAGAUGAGGCUGCUUGGUGGAGUUCUCAGUCGGUUUGAAAUCCUGCUUCUCCUCUACCAACCGCUCAUUCCUCGCCUCUUCCCACAUCCAUUUUCCCAUGCAUCUGGAAUGCUAAAAAAACAGAAGCUUAUUUAAAGAAGCUUUCUAAAAAAGGGGGGAAACCAUCAGAGCUGCUUCCCAGGGAGUUCUGUGCUGGAUUGUAAUGUAAAACUGCUCAGGACUGCUGAGGAGGAAUCAUAGAGCUAUUAAGGUUAGAGAAUAGCAUUAAGUACAUCACAUCCAACCAUCAGUGUGUCAGCUCCAUGCCCGCUAACCACAUCUCAGUGCCAGGCAGCUCUAGGCACCAAAACCCCACAGGAGCCAUGGUAGGAGAUACAUUCUGUCCCAGAGAGUAGGAUAAUCCCUUUCAUUUAUACUGUGAUACUAUGAGAUGCUGUGACACUCACAGAAUCACAGAAUG